GAUGAACGCUGGCGGCGUGCCUAAUACAUGCAAGUCGAGCGAACAGACGAGGAUCUUUCUCCUCUGACGUUAUCGGCUGUCGGGUGAGUAACACGUGUAUAACCUACCUAUAUUACUUGUAUAACUUCGGGAUACCGUAUCUAAUACCGGUUAAUCUAUUGAACCUCAUUGUUCAAUAGUGUAAUACGGUUUUUCUGUCACUUAUAGAUUUUUCCGCGCCGCAUUAGCUAGUUGGUAAGGUAACGGCUUACCAAGGCAACGAUGCGUAUCCGACCUGAGAGGGUGAUCGGCCAAACUGGAACUGAGACACGGUCCAGACUCCUACGGGAGGCAGCAGUAGGGAAUAUUCCGAAAUGGGCGAAAGCCUGACGGAGCAACGCCGCGUGAAUGAUGAAGGUCUUCGGAUCGUAAAACUCUGUUAUUAGGGAAGAAAAAAUGUGUAAGUAAAUAUGAACGUAUUGACGGUAACUAAUAAGAAAGCAACGGCUAACUACGUG
rnacentral:rRNA from 1 species